AGCGGGAAACGUAGCGGGAAAAUAAAAAUAUGUUUUAAUAUCAAUGAUGAACAUCAGGCUCAUAACCUGAAGGUCGUAGGUUCAAAUCCUACUCCCGUAACCA
rnacentral:tRNA from 1 species